rnacentral:rRNA from 1 species
AACGAACGCUGGCGGCAGGCCUAACACAUGCAAGUCGAGCGAUCAUUUCGGUGCUAGCUGCUGACGGUUGAUUAACGCGUGGUGACUUGCCCUUUUCUGCGGUAUCUUCUUGGGGAACUUGGGUUAAUACCGCAUACGCUCUUUUGGGGUAAGAUUUAUCGGAGAAUGAUCUGCCCGCGUUGGAUUAGGUAGUUGGUGUGGUAAUGGCCCACCAAGCCGACGAUCCAUAGCUGGUUUGAGAGGAUGAUCAGCCACACUGGGACUGAGACACGGACCAGACUCCUACGGGAGGAAGGAGUGGGGAAUCUGAGACAAUGGGGGCAACACUGAGCUAGCCAUGCCGCGUGAGUGAUGAAGAACUGAGGGUUGUAAAGCUCUGUCAGCAGGGAAGAUAAUGACGGUACCAGAAGAAGAAGCCCCGGCUAACUCCGUG